AUCAGGAAAGGAGCCCCUGAGGGCAGGGACUCUGCCUGGGCCAACAGCUGACAGAUUUUAGGAGAGGUUGAAUGAAUUCCGGGUCAGAGAACGUGCUUCUGUCUUUAAGGCAUUAGCAUUAAGAGAGCUAAAGGCUUAUGUAAAGUCCUUAAGGGAUGAUAAACAGCGUCCACCCUGGGGCUGCAAGACUGAGAGGUGCCUGGGGCCCGCAGAGGGAACUUAAGAUCUGAAGAAUUUUUCCAAGGCUCCAUCUUCGUUCUUCUCUAAGAUUUAAGCUUCAUAUUUCUCAGCUGCCAGCCUCCCCAGGCUAUCUCCUCUUCCCUCAGUGCUCCUUUCCUGGGUGGUCUCUGUCCGUUCCAAGCUCCUUCUCUGUCUCCUUACGUCUACUCAAAGGAAGAGCCACUCGGAUGGCCGCGUCAGGCUGUAGCCCAAGUCCUUCCUGUUCCGAUGAAGAGCACCAGCUUGGCCCUAUGCAGAGUCUCUGAGAUUUGCUGGAAAUGACCAGAUCUAUAAGACAGAUUGGCUCCUGACAGUACCCCUGUUCCACUUCAGAAAAGAUGAUGAGAAUCAAUAACCUCCAAGUGGAGUUGCUUCAAUUGAUAGCCACUGGGCAAGAACUGCCCUAACCUCAUCUGCAGACAGAAUGCUGUCCAAACAGCCAGACAAACAGAUGCAGGAUAGUUGGCUGCUGAGCUCUGCCAAGACAAGACUUGGAUCGGCUCCACUCCACACACUGGCCACUGUCAUGGUCCUUCCACAGUCCUGGGUCCUCUCAUCCCCUGGAAUCUUCACGGCAACUGAGGCUUCACUGACAGCAAUGGCCUCCCGGCUGACCUGCAGAGACUCCACUCCUGCUGUAUGGUGUCGAGCGCCUGGACAGUUCUCCUUCAGUCCUGUGGGUCUCACUGUAACCGAGCAUACGUCUUCACCUAUGGCUUCCUGGCCUCUCUGCCAACCGUACCAAGCCUGACUGCUCGCCAUGACAUCCUCAUGUCUUCAAAAACAGCACAUGUGGAAGACUGU
ensembl:antisense